UACGAAGGGGGCUAGCGUUGCUCGGAAUCACUGGGCGUAAAGCGCACGUAGGCGGACUCUUAAGUCGGUGGUGAAAUCCUGGAGCUCAACUCCAGAACUGCCUCCGAUACUGCGAGUCUCCGAGUCCGGGAGAGGUGAGUGGAACUGCGAGUGUAGAGGUGAAAUUCGUAGAUAUUCGCAAGAACACCAGUGGCGAAGGCGGGUCUCUGGACAGUUCCUGACACUGAGGCACGAAGGCCAGGGGAGCAAACGGG
rnacentral:rRNA from 1 species